UACGGGGGGGGCAAGCGUUGUUCGGAAUUACUGGGCGUAAAGAGCGUGUAGGCGGCCGCACAGGUCCGUUGUGGAAACUGGAGGCUUAACCUUCAGACGUCGAUGGAAACCGUGCGGCUAGAGUCCGGAAGAGGAGAGUGGAAUUCCUGGUGUAGCGGUGAAAUGCGCAGAUAUCAGGAAGAACACCCGUGGCGAAGGCGGCUCUCUGGGACGGUACUGACGCUGAGGCGCGAAAGCUAGGGGAGCAAACGGG
rnacentral:rRNA from 1 species